UUAUAGAAUAUCCUGUUGUUUUAUUUAUAUACAACUGACUUCAAACAAUGUUUUGCAUUCACUGCUUUCAUAUUCUCAUUCAAUUUACAGUUUGAUCUAGGCCUACUAAACAAUACAUGAUGAAGUUUCAGGACAUUUUAUUUGACUUUUAUGUGCUAUUUAUGUAAAUACGUAACUUUGAUGUGUUUUAGGCCACGCUGGCCAAUCAGAAGCCUGAAAAAGUUUCCAGUAGGCGGAGAUAACAGCGCAGGCUCCGACGUCACAAGCCAAAAACUCUGGUUUUGCCAUCUACACGAUAACACUGCAGCCGGAGUUUUUGAAAAUCUUCACCCUGGCAGGAGUUUUUCAAAGUGUUCGGUUUCAGUGACCUGGUGCAGCGUUUGCGUGAGGACGAACGGCCAAACCGCAUAGAAAAAGCUGCUGUUUUGAAAAUAACCGCGUUCGUGUGACGGCAAAAUGAGCGCGCGCGUUGAGCAUUCAAAUCGAAUUUAAACUGGAGCGGAGGAGGUUACCAUGGUAACAGGGUGUCAACUCACUCCUUUGACAAGUAGGGAGAGGCUGUCUCUCUGCUGUUUUCACUGCUUUCAGGAGUGGUUUAGUGUCUUCAAAAAGACCGUUAGCAUCAGAGGCUAACAAUUAGAGAGCUGGAGCAGAGCGGAUCUCCUGUCGAAGAACAUCUCCAAAGCGCCAUGAACCAUCUGACUAGGCAGUUCGUGAAGACAGAUAAACUGGACAGAAGUCAGUUCAAGAUCCAGCCUCCACACCAGACUUCUCACUCACAAGGAUUGCUGUCUACUAGAUAUUAUGUGUACUCUUCAGACUUGGGUUCAUACAGAUAUUAUUCAGGGACAUGAACACUUGAAUAUUGCAAAAAUAGAGAAACUACCUUAUUUAAGAAUUUUGUAUUAAUUGCAUGAACCUUAAACAUACAUAUAUAUUUAUUUUACUGUUUUUUGUUUUGUUUUCCAAAGCACCUAAAAGCCAAUUCACACUGCCAUACUCCAACAGGGUGAACACACUGACCAAGCAAAACAAAUAAUAGUGUGGACCAGGUCUGGAUUCCAGACAAGGGCCGUAACUGGCCCAAUUCAGGGCCAGUUAUGGGUAAUUAGCUUGGCUGAGACUUGGGCCAGUUAUGGCCCAUGUGUGGCCCUUGUCUGGAAUCCAGACUUGGUACACACUAGGACCGUAAGUCAUUGCGGUAUGUGGGCCAAGCAAUAGCUGAUUGUGUGGGCCAGAGAAAAAUUGCUAUGUGGGAGGGAUCUACCCUUAUGUUGUUAAA